rnacentral:rRNA from 1 species
AUUGAACGCUGGCGGCAUGCCUUACACAUGCAAGUCGAACGGUAACAGGUCUUCGGAUGCUGACGAGUGGCGAACGGGUGAGUAAUACAUCGGAACGUGCCUAGUAGUGGGGGAUAACUACUCGAAAGAGUGGCUAAUACCGCAUGAGAUCUACGGAUGAAAGCAGGGGAUCGCAAGACCUUGUGCUACUAGAGCGGCCGAUGGCAGAUUAGGUGGUUGGUGGGAUAAAAGCUUACCAAGCCGACGAUCUGUAGCUGGUCUGAGAGGACGAUCAGCCACACUGGGACUGAGACACGGCCCAGACUCCUACGGGAGGCAGCAGUGGGGAAUUUUGGACAAUGGGCGCAAGCCUGAUCCAGCAAUGCCGCGUGCAGGAUGAAGGCCUUCGGGUUGUAAACUGCUUUUGUACGGAACGAAAAGCCCUGGGUUAAUACCCUGGGGUCAUGACGGUACCGUAAGAAUAAGCACCGGCUAACUACGUGCCAGCAGCCGCCGCCGUAA